CAUUAAAGCGGUACGCGAGCUGGGUUCAGAACGUCGUGAGACAGUUCGGUCCCUAUCCGUCGUGGGCGCAGGAAAUUUGAGAGGAUCUGUCCUUAGUACGAGAGGACCGGGAUGGACAUACCUCUGGUGUACCAGUUGUUCUGCCAAGAGCACCGCUGGGUAGCUACGUAUGGAUUAGAUAAUCGCUGAAAGCAUCUAAGUGAGAAACUAACCUCGAGAUGAGAUUUCCCAUUCGUCAGAAGUAAGACCCCUGAGAGACGAUCAGGUAGAUAGGCUAGAAGUGGAAGUGUAGUGAUGCAUGGAGCGGACUAGUACUAAUAGGUCGAGGACUUAACCAAG
rnacentral:rRNA from 1 species